rnacentral:rRNA from 1 species
ACAGCUCAAAUUUGAAAUCUGGCCUCCUCGAGGUCCGAGUUGUAAUUUGUAGAGGGUGCUUCGGGUGCGAUGCCGGUCUAAGUUCCUUGGAACAGGACGUCGUAGAGGGUGAGAAUCCCGUAUGCGACCGGCAAUCAAGCCCGUGCGAAGCCCCUUCGACGAGUCGAGUUGUUUGGGAAUGCAGCUCAAAAUGGGUGGUAAAUUUCAUCUAAAGCUAAAUAUUGGCCAGAGACCGAUAGCGGACAAGUAGAGUGAUCGAAAGAUGAAAAGCACUUUGGAAAGAGAGUCAAACAGUACGUGAAAUUGUUGAAAGGGAAGCGCUUGCAAUCAGACCGGUCCGGAGGCGAUCAGCCGCUGCUCGUCAGCGGUGCACUCGCCUGCGAUCCGGCCAGCAUCGGUUUGGGCGGCGGGAUAAAAGUCCCGGGAAUGUAGCUUCUCCCGGGGAGUCUUAUAGCCCGGGUCGCAAUGCCGCCCGCCCGGACCGAGGACCGCGCUUCGGCUAGGAUGCUGGCAUAAUGGUUGCAAGCGACCCGUCUUGAAAAACACGGA